CCCCCAAACUCGACCUCUGGGACAUUCUGGCCUGGGUCGCUCUCUCCGAGGAGAGGAGGCCACGGCGAUGGACGUCUCCGCCCCGUUCAGAGCCGCCGAACAAGGCAGGAGUAAAUCACGGUUGUUUAUUCCAUCGUCUCUGGCGAUCUGCCAGCGGGGCCUUGCUCGCCGCUGACCUGCACCGUGCCUCGGCGUACCAGGCAGCGCGCCCUCCCAACGGAUUCUGAGCGGAGGAAACAGGAGGGAUGGCUGCAACUUUACCCUUAGAGCAGGAAAACUUUACCCUUGGUGAUGCCGACUUGAAUUCAAAGGUGAACGGAGCUGGAGGACAUCUUCAAAGCGGUCGAGGACAUCACAGGAAAGCCAAUGAGGCGCGUUGCCCUCCUCCGACACCCUCGGAAUACAUUCCAUGUGCCUCCCCUGCAACGCGAUACGCUGUCAGAGGGAAGAAAGAAAAAAAAAAAAA